CAGAAAAGGAGCAGGUCUGUAGAGGAGGAGGAAAAAGAGAAAACAAAUAGGAUGUCCUCUCCCACCUCCCUGUCGAAAGCAGACAAUGGAGAAGGCAGUCAGAAUUCUCGUGGGCCAAGUCCAAUGGGAAUAAGGAAGAAACCAUUUAAAUGCAUGGAGUGUGGGAAAGGUUUGGUUGGAGUUCAAACCUUCGUAUACAUAAACUCACUCACACAGGGGAGAAACCAUAUAAAUGUAAGGAGUGUGGAAAGAGCUGCAGUCAGAUUGGACACCUUA